UACGGAGGGGACUAGCGUUGUUCGGAAUUACUGGGCGUAAAACGCACGUAGGCGGAUUUGUAAGUCAGGGGUGAAAUCCCGGGGCUCAACCUCGGAACUGCCUUUGAUACUGCAAAUCUCGAGUCCGGAAGAGGUGAGUGGAAUUCCUAGUGUAGAGGUGAAAUUCGUAGAUAUUAGGAAGAACACCAGUGGCGAAGGCGGCUCACUGGUCCGGUACUGACGCUGAGGUGCGAAAGCGUGGGGAGCAAACAGG
rnacentral:rRNA from 1 species